rnacentral:rRNA from 1 species
GGGUGAGUAACACGUGGGAACGUACCUUUUGGUUCGGAACAACUGAGGGAAACUUCAGCUAAUACCGGAUAAGCCCUAACGGGGAAAGAUUUAUCGCCGAAAGAUCGGCCCGCGUCUGAUUAGCUAGUUGGUGAGGUAAUGGCUCACCAAGGCGACGAUCAGUAGCUGGUCUGAGAGGAUGAUCAGCCACACUGGGACUGAGACACGGCCCAGACUCCUACGGGAGGCAGCAGUGGGGAAUAUUGGACAAUGGGGGCAACCCUGAUCCAGCCAUGCCGCGUGAGUGAUGAAGGCCCUAGGGUUGUAAAGCUCUUUUGUGCGGGAAGAUAAUGACGGUACCGCAAGAAUAAGCCCCGGCUAACUUCGUGCCAGCAGCCGCGGUAAUACGAAGGGGGCUAGCGUUGCUCGGAAUCACUGGGCGUAAAGGGUGCGUAGGCGGGUCUUUAAGUCAGGGGUGAAAUCCUGGAGCUCAACUCCAGAACUGCCUUUGAUACUGAGGAUCUUGAGUCCAGAAGAGGUGAGUGGAACUGCGAGUGUAGA